rnacentral:lncRNA from 10 species
UCAGACUACUAUCACACCAAAAAAAGAGGCUUCACUUGGAGUGCUGCCACUGGAUGGGGCCUGACUUGUUUAUCCGGAAAGAAGUGACUUCCCUGGGAAGAAGGUUGCAUUUGUGAAAGCUUGUGCAGCAUUUCAAGGCUGCAUUCAGGGUACAGGUCUUUGAAGAGUUUGCAUUGCUCUGUGAGUUACCAGAGGACUGCCAUCUUUAAUCCAAUUCAGACAGCAAUUCACCAGGCUUUGCAUGUGCUCAGGCCUGUUGCUCCUUAUCAGAGGCCCACAU